AUUGAAUGCUGGCGGCAUGCCUUACACAUGCAAGUCGAACGGCAGCACGGGUGCUUGCACCUGGUGGCGAGUGGCGAACGGGUGAGUAAUACAUCGGAACAUGUCCUGUAGUGGGGGAUAGCCCGGCGAAAGCCGGAUUAAUACCGCAUACGAUCUACGGAUGAAAGCGGGGGACCUUCGGGCCUCGCGCUAUAGGGUUGGCCGAUGGCUGAUUAGCUAGUUGGUGGGGUAAAGGCCUACCAAGGCGACGAUCAGUAGCUGGUCUGAGAGGACGACCAGCCACACUGGGACUGAGACACGGCCCAGACUCCUACGGGAGGCAGCAGUGGGGAAUUUUGGACAAUGGGCGAAAGCCUGAUCCAGCAAUGCCGCGUGUGUGAAGAAGGCCUUCGGGUUGUAAAGCACUUUUGUCCGGAAAGAAAUCCUUGGCUCUAAUACAGUCGGGGGAUGACGGUACCGGAAGAAUAAGCACCGGCUAACUACGUG
rnacentral:rRNA from 1 species